CAUUUAACAUCCUCACAUAGAGUAUGAUUUGCAUAACAAGUAACCGUUGCUUUUGGGAAACAAUAUGAAAGAAACAUUUCAUUUUUAAAAGAAUCUAUAUAUGUUGCAUUCUUGCUCAUGUAAAUGAGGGCUACCAAAAGCUUUCAAGAAUUGGUUUUGAGACAUUUUCAAUUACUGGACCAACAAUGUUAAUUAUCUAUGCUUUCUCAAUU
rnacentral:lncRNA from 1 species